rnacentral:lncRNA from 1 species
GUAGCUUCCUUGUCGUGUGGCCUCAGUCCUUCGCCGUCCCUCGCCGUCCUUCGCCAUCGCACGCCACCGCACCCCAUCUCUCGAAAUCUGCAGACAUCUUGAUUUUUCCCACGCUGUCUGUCAGGUCUCCGCCGCCACUCGACGCCAGGGCGCCGGGUGAGUCCACAGCAGGGCGCAUGGUCGGCUCCACUCUCACCAUCGGGGGAAACUGAGGCCCCGGGGAAGGCGGCCAGAGAGGUCAGGCCCUGUCCUUGGUGCAGUGUCUCGUCCUCUUUGCCGGAGUGAGCCCCCCAGGAUUCGCGUGUCCUCGGGAAAGACACUGGCAGGCCUUGUGGGCUGUGCUGCACCUCGGACGGCUUCGCACCAGCCAGCGCCCUCUCUCUCCUGCAGCACUCUGAUCUGCACCCCCUGAGGGGCUUCCACUGUCCGCGGGGUGAGAAUGCCCCUGGGAGUGUCACAUGACUGCCGCCCCAUGUGUGUGAGAGGCGUCCUCUGGGAGAGCAUGGAUCCUGAGGUCCCAGGAACAUCCCGAGAGCCAAGUUCCCAGAUGCCAGCCAAGGGCCAUCUGACCUGUUUUGAAUCUCAAUUUCCUGAUACAGAAAACAAAGGAUUGUCAGCUGACCUCUGUCCUGUGUGCCCAGUGGCCCCAGGUGACGUGUCUUCAAGAAGAGGCUGAGCUGCGGUGCUUGUAAGGCAGGGUCUCAUUCUGUCACCCAGGCUGGAGUGCAGUGGUGCAAUGAUGGCUCACUGCAGCCUCGACCUGGGCUCAAGUGAUCCUCCACCUCAGCUUCCUGAGUAGCUGGGACCACAGGUCUCAGCCUUAGAUCCAAGGACAGUCCAAGGAAGUCCUAAGACCAUGGAGUUGGUGAUCUGGGAUCUGGGUUUGCUGAUAUUUCUCACCGUGAAUCUCUUGGUGGUGUUUGUGGGCACGAGAGGGGCAGAGAAUGGAGAGUGAGGCUACCACAUGAAGCGUCACCAGAGCUGCUCCCUGCUGCCUGCUCAGAGCACCCCGGAUCCACUGUUCAAUCUGCACAAGAUUCGGGGUCCAGACAUGGGAGACUUCAGCUGCCUCAGAGGACCGUGGACAGGGAAGGCCAGCCUCGCAUCCCUCUGUCCAUGCCUGGAAUGACUUUAAUAACCAAGAGUUUUAUUUUUGAAUUUGUAGCUGUCGUUCACUUUUUACCCACCCAUUCAAUAAACCUUACAGAAUUGCUC